rnacentral:rRNA from 1 species
ACGAACGCUGGCGGCGUGCUUAACACAUGCAAGUCGAGCGGUAAGGCCCUUUCGGGGGUACACGAGCGGCGAACGGGUGAGUAACACGUGGGUGACCUGCCCUCAGCUCUGGGAUAAGCCUGGGAAACUGGGUCUAAUACCGGAUAUGACUCCAUGACGCAUGUUGUGGGGUGGAAAGCCUUGUGCGGCUGAGGAUGGGCCCGCGGCCUAUCAGCUUGUUGGGGGGUGAUGGCCUACCAAGGCGACGACGGGUAGCCGGCCUGAGAGGGCGACCGGCCACACUGGGACUGAGACACGGCCCAGACUCCUACGGGAGGCAGCAGUGGGGAAUCUUGCGCAAUGGGCGAAAGCCUGACGCAGCGACGCCGCGUGAGGAUGACGGCCU